rfam:Camelus ferus unplaced genomic scaffold scaffold390, whole genome shotgun sequence.
GAGGGUGUAGUUCAGUGGCAGAGUGCCUGCUUAGCAUGCACGAGGUCCUGGGUUCAAUCCCCAGUGCCACCA